rnacentral:sRNA from 1 species
UAAAUUUUUCUUUAAAAUCAUGAUUUUUGAUUUAUCAAUAAUAACAAUAAUAAAAUGGGCUGACCAUGGACUUGCCCAUAUGGACAUGGUCUUUAUUGGGCAUGGACAUUUUCGGACCAUUGUCCAUUAUGGACCGUCCAACUUGGCCCAUAAAAAAAACUGUCCGUACGUACACGCCCAAUGGUCUUUGGACGGACCAUUUGACAGCUCUAUACAUAGCAAUGCUUCUGGCAAAUCGCUUAUCCAAUCAACCCCAACCUCAAC